rnacentral:lncRNA from 1 species
CAGGUCUCCCCAUCAAGGCUCCCCAGGCAGCUUGGCCACUAAGGGACUCUGGGGAAGUCAGGCCUGUGGCCCUGGGAGGAAGGAAAACUCAGAGAUGGGUCAGCUGAGGAGGCAGAGAGCAGUCAUUUUGAAUAACUAGGUGAAGCCACUCCAUGAGCUGUCAUUCAAGAGGGCUGCAGCCACCCCCAGUCUUCAGGUUUCUCUGAAGCUCCUGUCCCCUAAGGUUGCCCCAGGUUGGCUGGUGGCUCCCCAGUCAUGGUGGGAUUUCAGAGGCUCUGACAUACGUCUUCCCCCAACCUGGAACACCACACCACCUUCCGGCCCAGGUCUGAAUCCCUCACGUUAAAUUCACACUCUGCCUUAGUGGCUGGAUGCUCAUCAAAGGAGACACGCACAGCCCCGGGGGGCUCGAGGGCCCCUCCGUGAGUCGUCACGGGUUGACGGGUACAGACAAGUAUGACAAACCCUUUCCUGAGAGCCUGUUUGGACUGCAACGGGGAGAAGGGUCAGCCCCUUUACUGAACAAAGGGAAUGGAGUAUCUGGUGCAACGUCUGAUGACAAGAGGGUGAGAGAGCAGGGCCUUUGGGACGCUCCGGACUCUCUCAGGAGAAUUGUCUAGAACAAGAAAAGAUAAGGUUUACCCUCAAGGGGUAAGCCCAAAAUACACCAGAGCAUUAAAA